rnacentral:rRNA from 1 species
GCCAGUGGGGGGUCUAUACAUGCAAGUAGAACGCUGAAGAGAGGAGCUUGCUCUUCUUGGAUGAGUUGCGAACGGGUGAGUAACGCGUAGGUAACCUGCCUUGUAGCGGGGGAUAACUAUUGGAAACGAUAGCUAAUACCGCAUAACAAUGGAUGACACAUGUCAUUUAUUUGAAAGGGGCAAUUGCUCCACUACAAGAUGGACCUGCGUUGUAUUAGCUAGUAGGUGAGGUAAUGGCUCACCUAGGCGACGAUACAUAGCCGACCUGAGAGGGUGAUCGGCCACACUGGGACUGAGACACGGCCCAGACUCCUACGGGAGGCAGCAGUAGGGAAUCUUCGGCAAUGGGGGCAACCCUGACCGAGCAACGCCGCGUGAGUGAAGAAGGUUUUCGGAUCGUAAAGCUCUGUUGUAAGUCAAGAACGGGUGUGAGAGUGGAAAGUUCACACUGUGACGGUAGCUUACCAGAAAGGGACGGCUAACUACGUGCCAGCAGCCGCGGUAAUACGUAGGUCCCGAGCGUUGUCCGGAUUUAUUGGGCGUAAAGCGAGCGCAGGCGGUUUGAUAAGUCUGAAGUUAAAGGCUGUGGCUCAACCAUAGUUCGCUUUGGAAACUGUCAAACUUGAGUGCAGAAGGGGAGAGUGGAAUUCCAUGUGUAGCGGUGAAAUGCGUAGAUAUAUGGAGGAACACCGGUGGCGAAAGCGGCUCUCUGGUCUGUAACUGACGCUGAGGCUCGAAAGCGUGGGGAGCGAACAGGAUUAGAUACCCUGGUAGUCCACGCCGUAAACGAUGAGUGCUAGGUGUUGGAUCCUUUCCGGGAUUCAGUGCCGCAGCUAACGCAUUAAGCACUCCGCCUGGGGAGUACGACCGCAAGGUUGAAACUCAAAGGAAUUGACGGGGGCCCGCACAAGCGGUGGAGCAUGUGGUUUAAUUCGAAGCAACGCGAAGAACCUUACCAGGUCUUGACAUCCCGAUGCUAUUUCUAGAGAUAGAAAGUUACUUCGGUACAUCGGUGACAGGUGGUGCAUGGUUGUCGUCAGCUCGUGUCGUGAGAUGUUGGGUUAAGUCCCGCAACGAGCGCAACCCCUAUUGUUAGUUGCCAUCAUUCAGUUGGGCACUCUAGCGAGACUGCCGGUAAUAAACCGGAGGAAGGUGGGGAUGACGUCAAAUCAUCAUGCCCCUUAUGACCUGGGCUACACACGUGCUACAAUGGUUGGUACAACGAGUUGCGAGUCGGUGACGGCGAGCUAAUCUCUUAAAGCCAAUCUCAGUUCGGAUUGUAGGCUGCAACUCGCCUACAUGAAGUCGGAAUCGCUAGUAAUCGCGGAUCAGCACGCCGCGGUGAAUACGUUCCCGGGCCUUGUACACACCGCCCGUCACACCACGAGAGUUUGUAACACCCGAAGUCGGUGAGGUAACCUUUGGAGCCAGCCGCUAAGUGACAAAUUU